rnacentral:tRNA from 1 species
UCCCAGGUGGUUCAGAUGGUAAAGAAAUCUGCCUGCAAGGCAGAAGACCCAGGUUUGAUCCCUGGGUUGGGAA